rnacentral:rRNA from 1 species
CACGUAGGGGGCAAGCGUUGUCCGGAUUUAUUGGGCGUAAAGAGCUCGUAGGCGGCUUAGUAAGUCGGGUGUGAAACCUCCAGGCUCAACCUGGAGACGCCACCCGAUACUGCUGUGGCUAGAGUCCGGUAGGGGAGCGUGGAAUUCCUGGUGUAGCGGUGAAAUGCGUAGAUAUCUGGAGGAACACCGGUGGCGAAGGCGGCAUCCUGGACCGAUACUGACGCUGAGGAGCGAAAGCCAGGGGAGCAAACGGG